rnacentral:rRNA from 1 species
GAUGAACGCUAGCUACAGGCUUAACACAUGCAAGUCGAGGGGCAGCAUUUCAGUUUGCUUGCAAACUGGAGAUGGCGACCGGCGCACGGGUGAGUAACACGUAUCCAACCUGCCGAUAACUCGGGGAUAGCCUUUCAAAAGAAAGAUUAAUACCCGAUGGUAUAAUCAGACCGCAUGGUCUUGUUAUUAAAGAAUUUCGGUUAUCGAUGGGGAUGCGUUCCAUUAGGCAGUUGGUGAGGUAACGGCUCACCAAACCUUCGAUGGAUAGGGGUUCUGAGAGGAAGGUCCCCCACAUUGGAACUGACACACGGUCCAAACUCCUACGGGAGGCAGCAGUGAGGAAUAUUGGUCAAUGGGCACACGCCUGAACCAGCCAAGUAGCGUGAAGGAUGACUGCCCUAUGGGUUGUAAACUUCUUUUAUAUGGGAGUAAAGUUUUCCACGUGUGGAAUUUUGUAUGUACCAUAUGAAUAAAGAUCGGCUAACUCCGUGCCAGCAACCGCGGUAAUACGGAGGAUCCGAGCGUUAUCCGGAUUUAUUGGGUUUAAAGGGAGCGUAGGUGGACAGUUAAGUCAGUUGUGAAAGUUUGCGGCUCAACCGUAAAAUUGCAGUUGAUACUGGCUGUCUUGAGUACAGUAGAGGUGGGCGGAAUUCGUGGUGUAGCGGUGAAAUGCUUAGAUAUCACGAAGAACUCCGAUUGCGAAGGCAGCUCACUGGACUGCAACUGACACUGAUGCUCGAAAGUGUGGGUAUCAAACAGGAUUAGAUACCCUGGUAGUCCACACAGUAAACGAUGAAUACUCGCUGUUUGCGAUAUACAGUAAGCGGCCAAGCGAAAGCAUUAAGUAUUCCACCUGGGGAGUACGCCGGCAACGGUGAAACUCAAAGGGAUUGACGGGGGCCCGCACAAGCGGAGGAACAUGUGGUUUAAUUCGAUGAUACGCGAGGAACCUUACCCGGGCUUAAAUUGCAUUUGAAUAUAUUGGAAACAGUAUAGUCGUAAGACAAAUGUGAAGGUGCUGCAUGGUUGUCGUCAGCUCGUGCCGUGAGGUGUCGGCUUAAGUGCCAUAACGAGCGCAACCCUUAUCUUUAGUUACUAACAGGUCAUGCUGAGGACUCUAGAGAGACUGCCGUCGUAAGACGUGAGGAAGGUGGGGAUGACGUCAAAUCAGCACGGCCCUUACGUCCGGGGCUACACACGUGUUACAAUGGGGGGUACAGAAGGCAGCUACCUGGUGACAGGAUGCUAAUCCCAAAAGCCUCUCUCAGUUCGGAUCGAAGUCUGCAACCCGACUUCGUGAAGCUGGAUUCGCUAGUAAUCGCGCAUCAGCCAUGGCGCGGUGAAUACGUUCCCGGGCCUUGUACACACCGCCCGUCAAGCCAUGAAAGCCGGGGGUACCAGAAGUACGUAACCACAAGGAGCGUCCUAGGG